CGCGGGAUGGAGCAGUCCGGUAGCUCGUCGGGCUCAUAACCCGAAGGUCGUCGGUUCAAAUCCGGCUCCCGCAACCA
rnacentral:tRNA from 1 species